AAAGUAGUGUGCAGCCAAGGAUGACUUGCCGAUGUAAAUGAUCUUUUUUUAUACUCUAUUAAGACAUUUUAGGUUUCAAAUUUCUUUGGUUCUUCGAGGAUUCAGGAAGAAAGUAGGAUAUAUAGAUAUAUUAUGCCGUAUUAAAUAUUUAUAAUAUAAAACCAAGAGGCAAAAGUAACAAUCAUGAUCGGCAAGUUGUCCUUGGCUACACGUUACUUUGU
rnacentral:pre_miRNA from 1 species